UAGGGAAUCUUCCACAAUGGACGCAAGUCUGAUGGAGCAACGCCGCGUGAGUGAAGAAGGUUUUCGGAUCGUAAAGCUCUGUUGUUGGUGAAGAAGGAUAGAGGCAGUAACUGGUCUUUAUUUGACGGUAAUCAACCAGAAAGUCACGGCUAACUACGUGCCAGCAGCCGCGGUAAUACGUAGGUGGCAAGCGUUGUCCGGAUUUAUUGGGCGUAAAGCGAGCGCAGGCGGAAUGAUAAGUCUGAUGUGAAAGCCCACGGCUCAACCGUGGAACUGCAUCGGAAACUGUCAUUCUUGAGCGCAGAAGAGGAGAGUGGAAUUCCAUGUGUAGCGGUGGAAUGCGUAGAUAUAUGGAAGAACACCAGUGGCGAAGGCGGCUCUCUGGUCUGCAACUGACGCUGAGGCUCGAAAGCAUGGGUAGCGAACAGG
rnacentral:rRNA from 1 species